rnacentral:rRNA from 1 species
CCUACGGGAGGCAGCAGUGAGGAAUAUUGGUCAAUGGACUAGAGUCUGACCCAGCCAAGUAGCGUGAAGGAUGACUGCCCUAUGGGUUGUAAACUUCUUUUAUCUGGGAAUAACAUGUUCCACGUGUGGGAUUUUGUAUGUACCAUAUGAAUAAGGCUCGGCUAACUCCGUGCCAGCAGCCGCGGUAAUACGGAGGAUCUGAGCGUUAUCCGGAUUUAUUGGGUGUAAAGGGAGCGGAGGUGGAUUGUUAAGUCAGUUGUGAAAGUUUGCGGCUCAACCGUAAAAUUGCAGUUGAAACUGGCAGUCUUGAGUACAGUAGAGGUGGGCGGAAUUCGUGGUGUAGCGGUGAAAUGCUUAGAUAUCACGAAGAACGCCGAUUGCGAAGGCAGCUCACUGGACUGCAACUGACACUGAGGCUCGAAAGUGUGGGGAGCAAACAGGAUUAGAUACCCCUGUAGUC